UCACAUCAUCUCAUGGGCCCCUUCUCCCUCU
rnacentral:piRNA from 1 species